GCAACCUCCGCCUCCCAGGUUCAAGCAAUUCUUUUUUUUUUUUUUUUGGUUCAAGCAAUUCUUCUGCCUAAGCCUCCCGAGUGGCUGGGACUGCAGAUCUGUGCCACCACACCCGGCUAACAUUUUAUAUUUUUAGUAGAGACGGGAUUUCACCAUAUUGGCCAGGUUGGUCUUGAACUCCUGUCCUUGUGGUCUGCCCACCUAGGCCUCCCAAAGUACUGGGAUUACAGGCGUGAGCCACCGAGCCAGGCCUGGGUAAGUAUUUCUGAGGCUACACCCUUGUUUAUACUGAAGAAAAGGUGGAAUGGCUGCUUAGGGAAGGUAAAGCUGCGACAGGGGCAGUUACUAACAGAUAUUUUACCUUUCCACUUGUUGCAUUUCUGCUAAUUGCCAAAUGAGGGGUUUUGGCCCGUCUUGUGUGAGCUUUUUGUAUAAGGGUUUUGUUUUUUGGGCAUAAGAGUCUAUAGACGACGGUUUUUGACCAAUCCUGAAAUCUUCUAAGUUCUUUAGUCUUCAGCAGAGGCAAGAAUAUGAUGCCUUCAAUCCAUUCCAGCCGAGUUUUGCACAUGCCUUUCUUAUUUAAAUGACUCAUUUUAAUAUUUGAUAAAAUAAAUUUGGAGUCUUUGUAAAGCCAUGGGGUGAGACUGCCCAUCAGUAUUGCUAUUUUCCACCAGAAUCAGGGUCUCUCACUCAAAGGCAAAUAGGUCAUGGUAUCCUCUGCAACGGACAAGCCUGGAGGCAUCUUUUAAAUCUCUUACUGUAACUACAGGUGAUUGUGAUGGUAUAAGGAUUUGGAACAACAGGGUUGAAGAAACCCAUCGCAGAGAAGACUUCCAAUUAUCAAGUAUAGGUUUUCUGUUUUUUGAGACAAGCUUUUAUAUUUUUAGUAGAGACGGGAUUUCACCAUGUUGGCCAGGCUGUACUUGAACGCGUCACCUGAGGUGAUCCGCCCACCUCGGCCUCCGGAAGUGCUGAGAUUACAGAGACGGGAUUUCACCAUGUUGGCCAGGCUGUACUUGAACGCGUCACCUGAGGUGAUCCGCCCACCUCGGCCUCCGGAAGUGCUGAGAUUACAGAGACGGGAUUUCACCAUGUUGGCCAGGCUGUACUUGAACGCGUCACCUGAGGUGAUCCGCCCACCUCGGCCUCCGGAAGUGCUGAGAUUACAGGUAUGA
rnacentral:lncRNA from 10 species